rnacentral:rRNA from 1 species
CGGCGGACGGGUGAGUAAUGCCUAGGAAUCUGCCUGGUAGUGGGGGAUAACGUUCGGAAACGGACGCUAAUACCGCAUACGUCCUACGGGAGAAAGCAGGGGACCUUCGGGCCUUGCGCUAUCAGAUGAGCCUAGGUCGGAUUAGCUAGUUGGUGGGGUAAUGGCUCACCAAGGCGACGAUCCGUAACUGGUCUGAGAGGAUGAUCAGUCACACUGGAACUGAGACACGGUCCAGACUCCUACGGGAGGCAGCAGUGGGGAAUAUUGGACAAUGGGCGAAAGCCUGAUCCAGCCAUGCCGCGUGUGUGAAGAAGGUCUUCGGAUUGUAAAGCACUUUAAGUUGGGAGGAAGGGUUGUAGAUUAAUACUCUGCAAUUUUGACGUUACCGACAGAAUAAGCACCGGCUAACUCUGUGCCAGCAGCCGCGGUAAUACAGAGGGUGCAAGCGUUAAUCGGAAUUACUGGGCGUAAAGCGCGCGUAGGUGGUUUGUUAAGUUGGAUGUGAAAUCCCCGGGCUCAACCUGGGAACUGCAUUCAAAACUGACUGACUAGAGUAUGGUAGAGGGUGGUGGAAUUUCCUGUGUAGCGGUGAAAUGCGUAGAUAUAGGAAGGAACACCAGUGGCGAAGGCGACCACCUGGACUAAUACUGACACUGAGGUGCGAAAGCGUGGGGAGCAAACAGGAUUAGAUACCCUGGUAGUCCACGCCGUAAACGAUGUCAACUAGCCGUUGGAAGCCUUGAGCUUUUAGUGGCGCAGCUAACGCAUUAA